rnacentral:rRNA from 1 species
CAGGCCUAACACAUGCAAGUCGAACGAGCUGAGACCUUCGGGUCUCGAUGCUAGUGGCGCACGGGCGAGUAACGCGUGGGAACGUACCCUUUAGUAUGGAAUAACCAAGGGAAACUUUGGCUAAUACCGUAUACGCCCUUCGGGGGAAAGAUUUAUCGCUAAAGGAUCGGCCCGCGUCUGAUUAGGUAGUUGGUGAGGUAACGGCUCACCAAGCCGACGAUCAGUAGCUGGUCUGAGAGGAUGAUCAGCCACACUGGGACUGAGACACGGCCCAGACUCCUACGGGAGGCAGCAGUGGGGAAUAUUGGACAACGGGCGAAAGCCUGAUCCAGCCAUGCCGCGUGAGUGAAGAAGGCCUUCGGGUUGUAAAGCUCUUUCGACGGGGACGAUGAUGACGGUACCCGUAUAAGAAGCCCCGGCAAACUUCGUGCCAGCCGCCGCCGUAA